GCCACUGUAUUUACUUUGAAAAAUACAUUGAGUUAUAAUGGAAAGUUCAUUGAAAAUGGCAUUGAAGUUUGUUGUGUUUUUUGUUGCUAUUGCAACAAUCCUAAUGGGAAGUGCACAUGCCACAAGAUCAAUUAAUAUUGACCCUGAAACUGCAUAUCCUGAUUGCAUCCCAAAUUGCUUCUUUCACCCAAGAUGCUGUGCACCUAUUGAUCUCGUAUCACCCUAAAAUUUUAGGGUUAGUUUUACACUAAUAAUACUCUUGGAUUUGAGAAUAAAGAUCCAUUUCAUAUGUAAUGAUUGAAUAUAUAAGAUUAAAAAUGAAAAAUGAUUAUUCAUUUUUCUCUAUUUUUAUUUGAACUUUGCACAAUAUGUAAUAAG
rnacentral:lncRNA from 1 species